rnacentral:rRNA from 1 species
UUGAGUGCAGUGAGGGCAGGCGGAAUUCGUGGUGUAGCGGUGAAAUGCUUAGAUAUCACGAAGAACUCCGAUUGCGAAGGCAGCCUGCUAAGCUGCAACUGACAUUGAGGCUCGAAAGUGUGGGUAUCAAACAGGAUUAGAUACCCUGGUAGUCCACACGGUAAACGAUGAAUACUCGCUGUUUGCGAUAUACUGCAAGCGGCCAAGCGAAAGCGUUAAGUAUUCCACCUGGGGAGUACGCCGGCAACGGUGAAACUCAAAGGAAUUGACGGGGGCCCGCACAAGCGGAGGAACAUGUGGUUUAAUUCGAUGAUACGCGAGGAACCUUACCCGGGCUUAAAUUGCAGAUGAAUUACGGUGAAAGCCGUAAGCCGCAAGGCAUCUGUGAAGGUGCUGCAUGGUUGUCGUCAGCUCGUGCCGUGAGGUGUCGGCUUAAGUGCCAUAACGAGCGCAACCCUUGUUGUCGGUUACUAACAGGUUUCGCUGAGGACUCUGACAAGACUGCCAUCGUAAGAUGUGAGGAAGGUGGGGAUGACGUCAAAUCAGCACGGCCCUUACGUCCGGGGCUACACACGUGUUACAAUGGGGGGUACAGAGGGCCGCUACCACGCGAGUGGAUGCCAAUCCCAAAAACCUCUCUCAGUUCGGACUGGAGUCUGCAACCCGACUCCACGAAGCUGGAUUCGCUAGUAAUCGCGCAUCAGCCACGGCGCGGUGAAUACGUUCCCGGGCCUUGUACACACCGCCCGUCAAGCCAUGGGAGCCGGGGGUACCUGAAGUGCGUAACCGCGAGGAGCGCCCUAGGG